rnacentral:lncRNA from 1 species
UUAAUCCAUAUAAUGGUAUGGUUAAGUUGCUUUUGCAAUGCAUAAGAAGCUUUAAGUCUUGAAGAAGGGAUUUGAUUCAAGAGUCAAGUCUAUAUCAUACUGCAUCAUGCAGUUGUUAGCAUGUAAGUAGAGCAGAUAUCAAUACAAGCAUGUAUCAGUUUACAAUGUAAGAAGUAAGGUCCGCCGUAUCGGUACCGGUCGACGUACCGGUGGCGGACGGUACUGGUACGUACUGGCCCGUACCGGUCUCGUUGAAUGGUUAAGUUUUGAGGUUCUACAUACCGGCAUGUACCGGUCACGUACUGGUCCGUACCGAUCUCGUACUAGUCCCGUCCCGGUUCUCCAAUGAUGAGCUCUCGGUACCGAAUUCCACGCUGAUCCGAUACCGAUUCAGGGCGGUACCAGUACGACCGGCCCGUAUCGGCCGGUACGGCAGACCUUGGUAAAAAGCCUUCUUAUAGCACAUUAACUGAUAAGCUGUGAUGGACAAAAACGGGUCAUCUUUGGUCGAUAUGCAAACUUAUAGCUGAACCUAUUUUGAAGUGAAUAUAUCACUCAAGUCGGUUAUUCAUGUUAGCCUAUAUGUUACACUUUGGACUCUCGUACUGCUUAUGUACACAAUAGAAUAUCAAGACUUUGAGAGGCUACAGUUAAAGGCUCAUAUAAUUCCUGCUUGAAUACUCAUAUCAUGUCAUUCUAUUACUAUUAUAUUAAAAAAGACAAAAAAUUAGAGCUCUCCAAGCAACCUUUUUAACAUGCAUUGUUGUAUUGUCAAAGUCGGAUACCAUUUUGUUUUAGUAUAUGCUAGCCAUAAUCAUAAUCAUAGUCAUCUAGCCUUUUUCAAACUAUUUAGAAUCGGCUUUAUGGAUCCUCAUUUGCCAAGUAUUCCUAUGACCACCUUUGACGUUACUCCAAGUUUCUACAUAUCCUUCCUCAUAACCUCUAUCCCGGUCAUCUUAGAUCUUCCCCUCCUUUUCCUUACUAAUUGAUACUUCUCAACACUUGACUAUAACUCACAAUCUUGUCCAUCCAUGAACCAAAUAAUGCUGGGUUCAUCAUAAUACUCAGUCCAAACAAUCCAUGUAUCCAUAUAUUAGAUCGAGGCCACAAACAUCACAAUUUACCCAACAUAAUCCCCUGUAAGAUUUUCGCUCCCCCUUGAUCCCAACCAUAUCCUUAUCUCAGUCAUUGGCAUCAACCAUCUACCUACCUGGCCACUAGGUUGGCGUUGAGAUCUAUAACUUCU